GACGAACGCUGGCGGCGUGCUUAACACAUGCAAGUCGAGCGGUAAGGCCCCUUCGGGGGUACACGAGCGGCGAACGGGUGAGUAACACGUGAGCAAUCUGCCCAUCACAUCGGGAUAACUCCGGGAAACCGAAGCUAAUACCGAAUACGACCACCUCCGGCAUCGGAUGGUGGUGGAAAGUUCCGGCGGUGAUGGAUGAGCUCGCGGCCUAUCAGCUUGUUGGUGGGGUAACGGCCCACCAAGGCUUCGACGGGUAGCCGGCCUGAGAGGGUGACCGGCCACACUGGGACUGAGACACGGCCCAGACUCCUACGGGAGGCAGCAGUGGGGAAUAUUGGACAAUGGGCGAAAGCCUGAUCCAGCAACGCCGCGUGAGGGAUGACGGCCUUCGGGUUGUAAACCUCUUUCAGCAGGGACGAAGCGAAAGUGACGGUACCUGCAGAAGAAGCACCGGCCAACUACGUG
rnacentral:rRNA from 1 species